GUACAGAGGUGGCAAGCGUUUGUUCGGAAUUACUGGGCGUAAAGGGCGCGUAGGCGGCUCGUUAAGUCCUGUGUGAAAUCCCCCGGCUCAACUGGGGAACUGCACAGGAAACUAGCGGGCUUGAGUUCGGGAGAGGGAAGCGGAAUUCCGGGUGUAGCGGUGAAAUGACGUAGAUAUCCGGAGGAACACCAGGGGCGAAAGCGGCCGACUGGUCGAGUACUGACGCGAGGCGCGAAAGCCGGGUAGGCGAACGGG
rnacentral:rRNA from 1 species